rnacentral:rRNA from 1 species
AGAGUUUGAUCCUGGCUCAGGAUGAACGCUGGCGGCGUGCCUAACACAUGCAAGUCGAGCGAUUCUCUUCGGAGAAGAGCGGCGGACGGGUGAGUAACGCGUGGGUAACCUGCCUCAUACACAUGGAUAACAUACCGAAAGGUAUGCUAAUACAAGAUAACAUAAGAAAUUCGCGUGGGUUUCUUAUCAAAGCUCCGGCGGUAUGAGAUGGACCCGCGUCUGAUUAGCUAGUUGGUAAGGUAACGGCUUACCAAGGCGACGAUCAGUAGCCGACCUGAGAGGGUGAUCGGCCACAUUGGAACUGAGACACGGUCCAAACUCCUACGGGAGGCAGCAGUGGGCAAUAUUGCACAAUGGGCGAAAGCCUGAUGCAGCAACGCCGCGUGAGUGAUGAAGGCCUUCGGGUCGUAAAACUCUGUCCUCAAGGAAGAUAAUGACGGUACUUGAGGAGGAAGCCCCGGCUAACUACGUGCCAGCAGCCGCGGUAAGAGCCGAAUU